CGGAGAGUUUGAUCCCGGCUCAGGAUUAACGCUGGCGGUGUGCCUUAUGCAUGCAAGUCGAACGGUCCUUGUUUUCGGAUAAGGACAGUGGCGAACGGGUGAGUAAAGCGUAAGCAACUUAUCUUCAAGUUGGGAAUAACCUCGGGAAACCGAGGCUAAUACCGAAUGUGGUGGCCGCGUUAUGCGCGGUCACUAAAGCCGCAAGGCGCUUGAUGAGAGGCUUGCGUCCGAUUAGCUAGUUGGUGGGGUAAUGGCCUACCAAGGCGAUGAUCGGUAGCUGGCUUAAGAGGGUGGUCAGCCACACUGGGACUGAGACACGGCCCAGACUCCUACGGGAGGCAGCAGCAAGGAAUAUUGGGCAAUGGGCGAAAGCCUGACCCAGCGACACCGUGUGGGGGAAGA
rnacentral:rRNA from 1 species